UCUAACUGGGCCGCUGGUGCUCUAUCUGUUGAAGCACUGGCCAAAGACGUGCACAUGUAAAGAGCUGCUGUUCAUCAAAGAGCUGGAGGAAAUUCUUCAGUACAUCUAUACCUCUGAAUUCAAGUUGGUUCAGGAGCCUCUCUUCAAGCAGCUGGCCCGAUGCAUCUCCGGCUCAAAUCAUGUGGUGGCAAAGGCAGCGCUGCAGUUCUGCAUAAAGAAGCAUAUCACACAUUUUAUCAGUGACAAUGCAGAGGAGAUCCUGCCCAUUGUGCUGCCUGCCCUGUACCAGUGUUCAAACAGCCAGCUAUAUGAGUCUGUCAAGCACAUCCUGACUGAUUAUCUGCCACAGCUGCUCAUGAUGAAUCCUGAGCUCUUUGCAC